rnacentral:rRNA from 1 species
GACAGAGGUGCCGAGCGUUAGGCGGAAUCACUGGGCUUAAAGCGUGUGUAGGCGGACCCGUCAGUGUCUUGUGAAAUCCCACGGCUCAACCGUGGAACGGCUGGGCAUACUGCGGGUCUUGAGACACCUAGGGGCGAGCGGAACAGGCGGUGGAGCGGUGAAAUGCGCAGAUAUCGGGAGGAACACCAGUAGCGAAGGCGGCUCGCUGGGCCAUUCCUGACGCUGAGACGCGAAAGCUAGGGGAGCGAACAGG